GUCUCGGGUCGGUGACGAGAUCCGGAUUUCAGUUGCCAUCACCGCAUUAUUUUGUCAUGUUUUCUGUGUCGGUCUUGUCUCAGCGGAAUUAGAGGAACAGCAAGGUGAGGACGUCAGGCGAGAUGAUCGGCCAUUUAGUGCCUUCUACUGCAGAGCCAUCGUUGAUGUUGACGCAUGGCGCCUCAAGACAGCAUGUUCUUCGUGGGGGCAGUAUAGUUGGAGCCGUAGAAAGGCAUCAACAACAAGUCGAUUUUUGGAUUACGUUUUGUGUUGAUCUAAACGUCUUCCAGGAAAACCAGGCGAGAUGUAAGUUCUUCUAGAAUGCCUUUUGAGUCUACCACCUAUGAUUCGGGAAACACAGUGUUGUUCGGGCAUUUGCCAUCAGGAAGGUUACUUUUCGUGUCAAAGAUGUGGUAAUCAACUCGGCUCAUAUUCAGCCAAUCCCUUAUCGCCUCCGAUUACUGCAGCGCUGCGACGGUAAGCUCUAUGUCCUGGUGGGAAAUGGUGCAGGGAGUCAUGCAUACCGAAGCCGACGGCCGGCAUUGUCACUGUGGGCGUGUUUGCCUCCAUGUAUCUUCUUUCCUCCUCUCCGUGUUAUAACAAGGGUUCUCAGUGAAUCGUGUUGGCAUUGUGCUAAGCUAUGUCGUAGUAGCAACUUGGAAGGUCUUCCUUAGAAGUUGAGAGGGGAGAAUCUGUCAGCUGUUUCUUCUGUUCCCGCUUCUUAUUGGCAGAGAAGGCUGAUAGUGAACGCAGCAUCAGCUGCAAGGAAAUCUAAUUCGGAUUUCGUCUGAUGCUUUUGCUUGUGAAGCGAGGGGAUAAGCCAACACCGUUGGUGAUUCGCCGAAGAGGGACAAUGAAAUUCCAUGUGUCUUUGUCCUCAUAUCCCGGCUAGUCGUUAAUCCCCUUACCCAGCUAGAGUUGUACAUCACAGGCAUCUAGCAGAUGUACAGACGGACAAAGAAAAUCAUCUGCUGGGAAAACGUAAUGUGUGUGUUUUUCUGGUUUACAGAGUAGGUCAAUCUAGUGAUAGACUGAGAAUGAUGCUCAGAUUGAUACAUGCUGACGGCUGCAGGUGAAACUGCUGUCUUUCAGUGGAAUGACAUCAGGCACAGAACUGGUGCUGCUGGGAUGGUUGACCUCAUGCAAGUGCUCAUGCAGUUUUCAACUCGUUGAGGCAUCGCCAUACGACGUACGGGAAAUUUUUUGUAUACAGCAGUCGUAAGACUAUGUGUAACCCUGUUGGGGUUUUCCCUGUUAUCUUCUGUUUAAAAAAAAGAAGAGUGAGUUUCUGGUUUGCUCAGGACCAUUGAUUGUCGGUAGUUUUAUUCUACUACCUCAUGUACCGUUGGAGCGCCAGUGCAAGAGAGUUCUACAUAUGAUUUCUGCCACCUAGGUUAUUUUUAGCGUCUUCUUGCGUGUCUGUUAAGUUGCAGAGGAGCGCUGUUGAAUUUAUUUGUCAGUUCUCCCGGAGCAGUCAAACUGUGUUCUGGUGGUAUGCAGCGUUACCUUGUGUUUAUCCUUCCGCGUGUCCCCAGAGACGUCUCGAAAUGGGUGAGCUGAAGUCCACUUUCUGCUAUGCCACAGCACCAUGAAUGCAACUAUCGACUCGAGACAGUAGCGUGGGCAUGUUGUUUCUCCCUCCUGUCUUGUUCACCGGUUUGUUUGUAGAGAGGUGAAGCAUAGCGUAGGUCUUGCGAUCCGUUCGAUUUCUCGUCAUGUAUUUUUGGGUGCACCCGAUCCCCCCUGUGCGCGACUUCAGCUGAUAGUAAGUGACCCACUUCGAUUGAAAGACGACAGCGUAUGACCACGGAGACGCGUCUUGUUUCGACAGUGUUCUCAUUACCCUUCGUGAUAGCCUCCGUGAGACCGCAGUUCAUUUCGUUUUGGAGAAGUGCUUUUGCCUUUCCAUACAGUGGAAUGUGAGUGGAGAAAGGACGCUUCGCUUAACGGAUUUCAUUGCUACAGCUGUCUACUUUGAAGCAGCUUAUCUCGUACAUAGACUGACUCUCAGCGUCACUGCUCUGGUCUACCGGUUCCGGAGCCAAACCAGAUCGCAUACGGGUAGGAAGUCCUUUUCCACAAACGCGUGCGAGCUCUGUUAUCGAGUGACAGUGAUGUUGAGUUGUCGGAUGUCUUCUUGUCAACUGCCAGCUCUACGGUAAGGUCAACACUUAGCCGGGUAACAAGCACUCGCUUUCUCCUCGCCGAACGGAAAACCCUAUGGCAUGUUUUUCCUUCCGAGAGUGUGUAUAUGGAGGCAUGUGGUGUGUUUGUUUGUAUCGUCUGACAGCAACGCGUACGUCUCCUUCGGAACUGCAGCCACUCACUCAACAGAUAACACUGGGUCGGUUUUGCAUAGUGUCGUUCGAGAGCUCCACAACUGGCAGUGAGCACAGUAGAUCUUGAGCGACCGGUAGGGAAUGACAGCUAUGGUUGCUGUUUGGUUUGCGCUUUGUUCACAGAAGGGUAAGUCCAUUCAUUACCAGCGCGACGUGUUAAACCUGAGAGGCUGAAUCGUCAGCCUCUUCUCGAGCGUAUUUUCAAAGUCGUAGAUGGCCGAUCAGUUGUGCAAUCGUUGUAGCCGCCCAGACUGACUGACGUUCCUGAGAAACGCACAACCGCUCUUUUCCUGCUCAGAAAUGCUGUCCGCUUAUUAGUGACUGAAAACGACAGACACGAGCAGCGCCACACGCUGACACUGUCAUUGAUAUUCUUCAUGAUACCCGCUGGGUUCCUAAUUGUGUGUGGGGUUAUUUUGCAGAGUGAGUAAACCUACAACCGCUACGGGACCCCUCGUUAAAAACGCAGCUGGCAACAGUGAAUGCUCCUGAUAGUUUUCUGAUACGAGGCUGCUUUUUGCUAGUCAUGACACGAACUGUGGUGCAAAGGCGACUGGCAACGGAUAGCGAACGACAGGAAAAUGACUCGUCGACUUCUGUGGCGGGUGGCUUUACUUGCGUCAGACCGUGAGCUCUUCUUGACCUAUUAUUAGUGUGCCACUGUUUUUCCUGGCCACAUUUCAAUGGAGCCACGGUUCCCCCCGCGAUAGUGUUAGCUUUCAUUUCUCCCGGGUAGAUACUUUUGAUUUUCGCUAUCCGCGUUUCACUACGUGUGCAUGAACGUCGAUUGCCUGAUUCGUGUCUACGUUCUCAGACCCAUAUCCCGGCAGUGAGUCAGAGGCCGUUUGUGCCGCCUAACCACAAAGAUUCGUCACAGUGUCCUAUUGAGGCUACAUCACUGUUGGUGAUGAUGUGCGUGCAAAUCCGAAAAGGAAGCUGUAGUCGUUGACGCCGGAACGCCAUCAAUGUGUGGAUCUGAGUUUGCCGUAAAGUUUGGGCUGUUGCGUCAACACAGGCCAGUAAGUUGUUCUCUAGCGUGCAAUACAGCUUCGCUCCAUAUUUAGCAGCUACUUUUUGAUUCGCCGGCAGCGGAUCAAGGAAACCAGUGAUUUCAUGCUCUCCCCAUCAUGGAUCCGCUUUUCUGUGCUCCUAUUGUACCCAGCAAUGGCCGAGUGAGUCUGCGGGGAUGCUCCGUUGCUAUGUUGCGGUCUAGAGCUGCGAUUUACGCCUGGUGAGUGGUGUUGCUUCAGUGUUAAUGGAGCUCCAUCAGGGAGAUACUGAAGUUACUGCGGUGCCUUAUCGUGUUCAUGAGGUGUGGCUCAUCGCCGUAGUAC
rnacentral:lncRNA from 1 species